UAAGAUACAAAUUGUGACCUAAGAUAAAAAUUCACCACCAUUUGUCACUUGAGCUAGGCCUAGGGGCAAACUGAGGGUCAAAUUAGGGACAUUUCACCUUAAUUUAUAGACAGAUUAGGGUUUCAAUCUUGAUUGGGAUUCUGGCUGCAGAGGCUGCACGUCUCCCGUCCAGUCUCCUGGUAUUCUUCUUUCUGCUCUGCUUCUCCUCUGUUAUAUUUCAGUUCUGAAGUUUUAUUUCUGUUUCUGCCCUAGUGAGGGGUUGUAGUGAGGUUCAACUGCUGAUUUCUUGGUGAAUUUUUAUUGAUCUUAGGAAGCCAGGCUUUGGCUGUGAAUGAGUGAGGGUAUGGUUAUGGCAUAAAGAGCGAUCCUUUUUUUUUUUGGCCCUCACUGUUACCCACUAAAAAUGAUUAUAAUCUUGUAGUAUUAAUUAAUCUGAACAAUGGAUAUAGUGGAAAAUGAUGAAAUAUAGCAGGUACUUAUGAUGGAUCUGUGACCAGAUGUACUCCUGGUGCUGCCAAUUUUGGCUCUGUGCUGAGCUUCUAGGACACAUUUCUGGUUGAUUAUCCCAUCAAAUACUUGCUGAUUCCUUCUCUAUCCUUUGUUUAGACCAGCUUCCAUGUCCUGAUCUACUACAUUAGAUUUUAUCCUUUUGACUCUUUUACUAAAUGGGUUCUUUAGUACUAGCAUGUUUGCUAAGGUCAGACUGUCAAAGAGUCUUCCUUUUUCUUGUCAUUUUCUGUGUGUAUCUGAAGGGGAGCCUAGAUGCAACAAUAAAAGUUGUUGCCUUGAGACUAGGAGGUCAAAGAUUCAAGCCACGAAAACAGCCUCUUGCGGAGAUGUAAGGUAAGGCUGCAUAGUGGGAGCUUAGUGCAUUGAGUUUGUUUUCUUUUUGUUUUGUUUGUUUGUUUUUCUUUUGUCCUUUUCUUCUUUGAAUUGCUGAAUGUCUUUGGAGUCAUAGUGGAGCUGUCUGAAUCAGAUUAUAUGAUUAGGGUUUCUCAGUAAAGCAGUUCAUCAUGAGGAGGAAGGGUUGCAGAUACGAAUGCUGGAAAUAUAUAAACAUUCACCAGAUAUAGAAAAGCAUUUGAAGAAAUUACAGGCAUGACUUGGUUAUUUAACAAACAUCAAGUUGAUUAACUUUUUUGCACUCUUUUGGUAAUGUUCCUUUAACAUUUUGCCCUCAUCGUUAAUAUGAUGAUUAUUAUUUCGUCAUGGAUACAAAGAAAAAUGUGAAUAAAGAUUGUCUUUUGCAAAUCUUAUCAGCCUUUAUGGUCAUGGUGGUGUUGAUUGAUACUAGAAGAUGAUGCCGUUGUGCUUGUAGCCUCAAGAUUUUCGCCUCCCAAUUGGCCUAGUGAACCCUUCUCCACCUUUUCCUUUUUCAUGAUUUCUUCAUCAAUAUGUAUAUCUUCAUCAAUUGUCAGAAUGACAGCUUUUGUUCCAUCUGGACGGGUUACAAUGUCUUCGUGGACCUUCAUAUGUUCAUCCACUUUCACGAUAUCAAUUUCCUGAGAGGUUUUCUUCUUUCUCUUCUUAAGGAAGCAACAUAGAGCAACUGAGAGAAAUGCCAGGAAGAAUAGACCACCAAGCGAGACGAAUAUAAUGAUGAUGGUAUGAGAAUGAUGUCUGGGUGGAGGUGGAGGUGGGAUUGGAACAACGUGCGGUGGAGGUGGAGGAUAGAAGGGACGGGGUGGUGGCUUAAUUGGUGCUGGGGGUGGUAUUGGAUGACUCGGUGGCUUUGCAGCUGGAGGUGGUGGACUAGGAAAAUGAUGUGGUGGUGAUGGUGUAACUGGCGAAUGUGGUGGUGAUGGUGUAACUGGUGGAUGUGGUGGUGCCACUUUUGGUGGUGAUGGUGUAACCGGCGGAUGUGGUGGUGCCACUUUUGGUGGAGAGGGCGUAAUUGGUGGAUGUGGUGGUGCCACUUUUGGAGGUGAAGGAGGUGUAUUAGGUUGGUGGGGUGGUGGUGAUACACUUGGUGGAGGAGGGUGAGGUGUUGCUGGAGGAAAUGGAUAGUUAUGAGGUGGGAAUGGGGGGAAGUAGGGGAAGUUGAAAUUUUGAAUAUUAGCCAUUGCAGUGGAAAUAUUUGCUUGCUAAAAGCUUAUAUUGAGUAAGCUGUCUGUAUGAUGUUUAUUGUUAGUGUUGAGUUGGGGAUAUAUAUUAGGUGUUAGUAUGAUAAUACUUGUAAGGUUCUUGUGACUUGAACCUCAGUCUAAGUUUUGCCCGGUUGUCAUUGGUUGCAUUCCAAAACACUCAUUUCUUCAUUUUUCACGGCGGUCAUGCUAACCACAGUUUCAUACAAUAAUCAUAUCUAUGAUUUGACAACUAAUUGAACCUUCUUUCUCCUCAAUGUUAUAUUAUGCCAUAAAUGGUUCCUGUAUAGAUUCUUGCCUGUUGGAUGAGAGCUCCCAGUCCCAAAACCCAUUGUGCUGCAUCUUCUGAUGUUAGGGAGGCGAACUGUAGUUAAAAUAAUGUUUAGAACUUUCAGCAUGAAGUUCUUAUUUUAAUACUUGGGGUAAUAUAUUAGCGUGUAUUAUGUAUGAAUAGAUUUAACUAGAUGAAAAAUUGUUGAGCUAAACGUUACUAUUUGACUUUAAUGACGUCUCCUCCGUCUCUUUUUUGGUACUAUUGCUUUCUUCAUACAAAAUUAUUUGGCGUGGGUCUGAAUUUAUCUUACCUAAGUAAUUUGAAUUACUGAUUAUUUCUUUGUCUAACAUGAAGUAAAUUUUAUUUUAAUGAAUUUACUUUCAUGUAGAAUGGUGAAGACCUACCUCAAAUUUCCAAUACACAGAAAAAGAAAAAGGACAACAAAGAGAUUCAGUUGCAAGUGGGCCAGAGCUUCCCCAAUACCCCCUAAUCGACCAAACUAUAUGUACACGAGUAUAUGUUUUUUUGAAUGAUAGAGAAUUACGAUUUUGUUUUAUAUUUUCUUUUGUUUCGGUAAGAAAGUGAUAAAGAGAGACGUCUUCCAAAUGCACACUUGAUUCCCCCCCCCCCC
rnacentral:lncRNA from 1 species